AUCAUUCAGGAGCAGGCCUGGGUGAUCCCAAAGUAAUAUCUGUUCCUCCCUCUGCAUAGAUCACUGAGAAGCAGUGAUGAGCACAGUGACUGCACCAUGUGAUAUGUGAGCAUCAGCUGUGGGAGUCAGGGAAACAUUGGAUGAGUUGCAUGGAGGAUGAGAUUCUUCUACAUACCAAGUGGCACGAUACAUAAAAUAUUCAACUGUAUGCCAAGAAGGUUGAGAUUCACAUGCAGCAACUGAGUAGCAUAUUUCUAUGUCUCCAUGAACAUGUCACCAUGGAGUGAGGCUUACAGAGAAUAAUUGCUGCCAUAAGAAAGACGACUGAAAUUGACAAUAAACUGAAUUUGGC
rnacentral:lncRNA from 1 species